rnacentral:tRNA from 1 species
ACUUUGGUGGUCUAAAGGCUUAGAACGCUCGCCCGGAAAGCAAGAGAUCCGGGUUCGAUUCUCGGCCAAGGUA